rnacentral:rRNA from 1 species
UGGGGAAUUUUGGACAAUGGGCGCAAGCCUGAUCCAGCCAUGCCGCGUGAGUGAAGAAGGCCUUCGGGUUGUAAAGCUCUUUCGGCCGGGAAGAAAUCGUGUUCUCUAACAUAGGGCAUGGAUGACGGUACCGGACUAAGAAGCACCGGCUAACUACGUGCCAGCAGCCGCGGUAAUACGUAGGGUGCGAGCGUUAAUCGGAAUUACUGGGCGUAAAGCGUGCGCAGGCGGUUUUGUAAGACAGAUGUGAAAUCCCCGGGCUUAACCUGGGAACUGCGUUUGUGACUGCAAGGCUAGAGUACGGCAGAGGGGGGUGGAAUUCCUGGUGUAGCAGUGAAAUGCGUAGAUAUCAGGAGGAACACCGAUGGCGAAGGCAGCCCCCUGGGCCUGUACUGACGCUCAUGCACGAAAGCGUGGGGAGCAAACAGG